UCGGAUCGCAGGCUGCAACCCGCCUGCGUGAAGUUGGAAUCGCUAGUAAUCGCGGAUCAGCAUGCCGCGGUGAAUACGUUCCCGGGCCUUGUACACACCGCCCGUCACACCAUGAGAGUCGGGAACACCCGAAGUCCGUAGCCUAACCGCAAGGGGGGCGCGGCCGAAGGUGGGUUCGAUAAUUGGGGUGAAGUCGUAACAAGGUAGC
rnacentral:rRNA from 1 species